GUAGGGCCGCGUCUCCACCCUCCCAGCCCUCUUUAACGGGGACCCCCCGGGCGGCCUCUCUAGACAACGGAGUGAAGCCCCCCCGUCCGGGGUCUGCUAAGAGUGGACGCCCUGCCUCGGGUGCAACAGCCCGCGGUCCCCAAAGUCCAGUCUGGAGUAGCAGAGCGCAGAGCACGGCCUUGACUCUGCCAAUUACCACUUCCCUUUCCCAGACCACAGUCUUGGGGCCAAUAGAGGAUAUAUGGACCCUGGUCAGCUGUAAACAAGAGGACGUCCAGGGCACUUCUGAGGGAGGAAGGGGAUGCUGGAGCUGCUGCAGCCAUUUUGGCACCUUGAGUCACUGGCUUUGGCAAACCAAGCUGCCAUGAGGUAAAUGACCAAGAUAGAGGAACUCACAUGAUACAGAAGGAUCAGUGACCUGAGAGCUGCUUCCAGCAAGAUACUGAAGCAUCAGCCCUGCCUGCAGCUGCUGGGAGAUGAAUUCCACCAACAGCCUCAAACUCCACAAGAAGUGGACCUGACCCCAGCUGAGCAUCUGAUGAGAAUACAGCCCAGCUUAUCCCAGGAUGGCUGCCUGCUCAGACCCUGAAGCAGGAACCCAGCUAAGCCAGGCUUGGACUCCUGGCCCAACAGAAACCAUGAGAUAACAAAUGUGUGUUGAUUUAAGAUGCUAAAUUUGCACUAGUUGGUUAUGCACGAUCAGAAAAUGACUUCAGCUGGAGAACCAGCCUUGGGACCCUGCAGCCAAGAAAAUGCCCCCAAACCAAACUCCAAAAUUGGCCUGUGAGGAUAUUUCUCUGGGCACCACAGCCCCGGGAACUCAGCCUUGUUGUCCCAUCUCUGCCUCUGGAGAGACUGACUUCUAGCUGUGUCUCGAGCCCCCCAUGAGAAGCCUGGGAACAUAUGCAUCUGGUCACAGACCCCAGGAUUCAGGUCCCCUCCUUCAGCUGCAAGGGAAGCUGGGAAAUGUCUUCUGAGGUUGCUUCUGUGCUGGAGUUCACGGGGAGGGGAGUGGCCCAGACGUGGGAAGGUUGUCACCAUUCUGUUCAGCCCACCAUGAGCAAUGGGCUUCACGAACCACUUCUUAAUGGCCCUACAUUCGCUAGGAUGUGUCAAGGCAUCACUGAGCCAAACUCCACUCAGCAAAUUCCUUCCGUCACCCCUGUGAAUGCACCAUAUAAUCUGUUUUUCAAUGUUUCAUUUAAAAUAGGAGGUUCUUUUCUUCAAAGGUAAAAAAGAAUAGUACACGCUUGUAAACUCAGCCAGUCUUGUUUCAUCUAUUCCUCAUCUCACCCUGGAUUAUUUACAAACAAAUCCCAGACAUCAUAAAACUUCAUCUGCAAAUAUUUGAGUAACUGUCUCUGAAAGUGAAAUUUCGUAUUUAAAAACUAUUACACCCUAAA